rnacentral:rRNA from 1 species
CACGCCGUAAACGAUGAGUGCUAGGUGUCGGGGGGGAACCCUCGGUGCCGCAGCUAACGCAAUAAGCACUCCACCUGGGGAGUACGAUCGCAAGAUUGAAACUCAAAGGAAUUGACGGGGGCCCGCACAAGCGGAGGAACAUGUGGUUUAAUUCGAUGAUACGCGAGGAACCUUACCCGGGAUUGAACGUAAGGGGAAUAAUGUCAAAAGAUGUUAGCUAGCAAUAGCCACUUACGAGGUGC